AUACGUAGGUGACAAGCGUUAUCCGGAAUUACUGGGCGUAAAGAGCUCGUAGGUGGUUUGUCGCGUCGUCUGUGAAAUUCCGGGGCUUAACUCCGGGCGUGCAGGCGAUACGGGCAUAACUUGAGUACUGUAGGGGAGACUGGAAUUCCUGGUGUAGCGGUGAAAUGCGCAGAUAUCAGGAGGAACACCGGUGGCGAAGGCCGGUCUCGGGGCAGUAACUGACGCUGAGGAGCGAAAGCAGGGGUAGCGACCAGGAUUAGAUACCCUGGUAGUCCAUUCCGUAGACGGUGGGCGGUAGGUGUAGGGGUCUUCCACGACUUCUGUGCCGUAGCUAACGCAUUAAGCGCCCCGCCUGGGGAGUACGGCCGCAAGGCUAAAACUCAAAGGAAUUGACGG
rnacentral:rRNA from 1 species